rnacentral:rRNA from 1 species
UACAGAGGGGGCAAGCGUUGUUCGGAAUUACUGGGCGUAAAGGGCGCGUAGGCGGCCUUCUUAGUCGAACGUGAAAUCCCCGGGCUCAACCCGGGAACUGCGUCCGAUACUGGAAGGCUCGAAUUCGGGAGAGGGAUGCAGAAUUCCAGGUGUAGCGGUGAAAUGCGUAGAUAUCUGGAGGAAUACCGGUGGCGAAGGCGGCAUCCUGGACCGACAUUGACGCUGAACGGCGAAAGCUAGGGGAGCAAACGGG